rnacentral:rRNA from 1 species
AUGUUGCUAGAAGGAUAUCCAGGGGAAGACGGGGUUCAACCUGCUGUAGAGGGACGUUGCCCUGUACUAGAAGACUGUGCCGGCCGUGGUGAAGCACUCCUCGGAGGCGCUGCUGCUCGUGGUGUCCAACCCCGUCGAUGUCUUCGCCUACCUCGCCUUGCAGCUUUCAGGGUUGGGUUCCAGGCGAGCGGCGUCAUUUGCUCCUCCAAGUUCUGGUUCCUCAUCAACGAGCCCCCCGCCAUCAACACACAGGACGUGCAGAAGAAGGUAGCAAAUGCAACAGGCCUUCCAGAAACUUUUCAUGUACUGAUAUUCUCAUAG